rnacentral:rRNA from 1 species
CCUACGGGCGGCAGCAGUGAGGAAUAUUGGUCAAUGGACGAGAGUCUGAACCAGCCAAGUCGCGUGAAGGAUGACUGCCCUAUGGGUUGUAAACUUCUUUUAUAUGGGAAUAAAAUGUUCCACGUGUGGGAUUUUGUAUGUACCAUAUGAAUAAGGAUCGGCUAACUACAUGCCAGCAGCCGCGGUAAUACGGAGGAUCCGAGCGUUAUCCGGAUUUAUUGGGUUUAAAGGGAGCGUAGGUGGAUUGUUAAGUCAGUUGUGAAAGUUUGCGGCUCAACCGUACAAUUGCAGUUGAAACUGGCAGUCUUGAGUACAGGAGAGGUAGGCGGAAUUCGUGGUGUAGCGGUGAAAUGCGUAGAUAUCACGAAGAACUCCGAUGGCGAAGGCAGCUCACUGGACUGCAACUGACACUGAGGCUCGAAAGUGUGGGGAUCAAACAGGAUUAGAUACCCCGGUAGUC